rnacentral:rRNA from 1 species
UACAGAGGGGGCAAGCGUUGUUCGGAAUUACUGGGCGUAAAGCGCGCGUAGGCGGCUUUGCAAGUCGGGUGUGAAAUCCCCAGGCUUAACCUGGGAACUGCAUUCGAGACUGCAUUGCUAGAGUAUGGGAGAGGGAAGUGGAAUUUCCGGUGUAGCGGUGAAAUGCGUAGAUAUCGGAAGGAACACCGGUGGCGAAAGCGGCGCGCUGGAUCCCUACUGACGCUGAGGCACGAAAGCCAGGGGAGCAAACGGG